UAAGGAAUAUUGGUCAAUGGACGCAAGUCUGAACCAGCCAUGCCGCGUGAAGGAUGAAGGUCCUCUGGAUUGUAAACUUCUUUUAUCUGGGACGAAAACGGGAUUUUUAUCUCAAUUGACGGUACCAGAGGAAUAAGCACCGGCUAACUCCGUGCCAGCAGCCGCGGUAAUACGGAGGGUGCGAGCGUUAUCCGGAUUUACUGGGUUUAAAGGGUGCGUAGGUGGGCUUAUAAGUCAGUGGUGAAAUCUCCGAGCUUAACUUGGAAACUGCCGUUGAUACUAUAGGUCUUGAAUUAUCUGGANGUAAGCGGAAUAUGUCAUGUAGCGGUGAAAUGCUUAGAUAUGACAUAGAACACCAAUUGCGAAGGCAGCUUACUACAUAUAAAUUGACGCUGAGGCACGAAAGCGUGGGGAUCAAAC
rnacentral:rRNA from 1 species